rnacentral:lncRNA from 1 species
CUGAGCUAAGACCAAAGGCACACAACGAAGGUCCAGCACCCCACCUGCAGACACAGGUGUGAGAGGGAUAUUAACUGAAAGGCGGUGGCAGGUGGCAUCUGUGGCCCAGGCCUGGUUUCUCUGGAGGAAGUUGCUGCCCACAACCCCACUGGGGCUCCUGGGUCAGGAGCCCACCCGCCUCCAUGUGUGCAGGACACACGUGGCCAGACAGACAGACUCCCAGGGACACACUCCCUGGGGCAGAGAGCCAAAGCCUGCACAAUUCUCUCAGGGUGAGGAAACAGGCACAGAGUGGGCUGAGUCUGCGCGACGGACGCCCCAGGCUAUGGCCGGCACCGUGUCCGGGGAGUGGGGCCUGUCUGGGCCCAGGCUGGUCCCUGCUCCUCUCCCUCUGCCUUCAAGGAUGGCAAGGGGAGGAGAAUCUCAAACCCACCUGGCAACUGACUGCUAGAGGGCCAGGCAAGAGGAUGGACCUCACCGGGAAGAUGGGACAGUCGUGUCCAGCCAUGAGGAUCCUGUGCACUGCACACUGAUGCCCUGGGCGGGGCAGGCAGGCGGACAACACUGGGAAGCCUACCCCAGAAUGGCCAGGACCAGAGGUGGACAUGGACGGAGCUGCCUGAGGGCCACACUCGGACACACGAGACACAGACCAUGUGGAAACCCUGACCCUCCCACCAGCCCCGAGGUGUGCAGUCAGGGCCAGUAAAGGGCAGAACCAGCGCAUGGACAACUGCUUUCCAGGGAAACAGAAUCUACCAAAAGGUGCCGCCUGUAGGAUCCUGCAGAUGGUACUGCCUGGCGCUGCUCUUCCCCGUGGGCCCUCCCAGGGCCGACCAGGGCUCAGAACAG